CAGAAAACAACCCAGAAGCAACUGAGAAAACGGCAUAAGGCAAUACAGGCAGAAGUACCAUUUUACUCAGUUGAAAUAUCAGCUAUGAGAGAAAAGAAAUUUGUAUUUGCUAAGAUCCAAUAAGAAAGGCAGCAAGCUGUUUGCUUUAUGAUAGCCUUGGGAAUAUUUAUUACUGCAAGUUUCCUAUUGUUUUCAUAUUUCUGAAAGGAACCUUAUGAAGUCUGGUCCAAGGAGUCAACUGGUGAGUUCACUGAUCCCACUUCUGUUUAUAGGUCAAAUAAACAUUGUCAAGGGUAAAAAAGCUGUUUGUCUUCACCAAGAAGCUGUGUAUGUAAUAUGACUGAAAUGAGGCAGCCACUACAGUAUGCAAAACAUUACACAGGCAUAAUUCAUAUUUCAUCAGGUCCUUUGCAUAGAAUGGAAUGGUUAAAGGGAAAAGUAAGUUAUAUUAAAUAUUUAAGAACCUGCCACAUCCCAGAAACACAUUAGCAAUGCAGUAAGCAGCUAGUAGAUUCUUACAGUUGG